rnacentral:rRNA from 1 species
AGAAAGGAGGCAUGCAAGUCGAACGGGAUCUCCGUGAUUCAAUCCUUCGGGAGAGAAACUUGAAGUGAGAGUGGCGAACGGGUGAGGAACGCGUGGGCAACCUGCCCUUAAGUUGGGGAUAGCCCUCCGAAAGGAGGAGUAAUACCGAAUGUGGUAUUCCAUCGCAUGAUGGAUGAUCUAAAGAUGGGGAUCUUCGGACCUGUCGCUUAUGGAUGGGCCCGCGCACUAUCAGCUUGUUGGUGAGGUAACGGCUCACCAAGGCUAUGACGGUUAGCUGGUCUGAGAGGAUGGUCAGCCACACUGGGACUGAGACACUGCCCAGACUCCUACGGGAGGCUGCAGUCGAGAAUCAUUGUCAAUGCGCGAAAGCGUGAACAUGGUACACUGCGUGGAGGAUGAAGGCCUUCGUCGGGUAAACUCCUGUCAGGAGGGAACAAUCCCCCGUGUCCGAAUAAGGCAUGGGGUUGAUGGUACCUCUAGAGGAAGCCACGGCUAACUCUGUGCCAGCAGCCGUUGUAAUACAGAGGUGGCAAGCGUUGUUCGGAUUUACUGGGCGUAAAGGGUGUGUAGGCGGUUUCGUAUGUCAGAUGUGAAAGCCCACGGCCCAACCGUGGAACUGCAUCCGAAACUGCGAGACUAGAGUACAGGAGAGGAGAGCGGAAUUCUCGGUGUAGCGGUGAAAUGCAGGAAUAUCGAGAAGAACACCGGUGGCGAAGGCGCCUCUCUGGACUGAUACUGACGCUGAGACACGAAAGCUGGGGGAGCGAACAGGAUUAGAUACCCUGGUAGUCCCAGCCGUAAACGAUGUGCACUUGGUGUGGGAGGUGUUUGUCCCUUCCGUGCCUACGCUA